rnacentral:tRNA from 1 species
GCACCCUUAGCUCAGCUGGAUAGAGUAUUCGCCUCCGAAGCGAAAGGUCAGUGGUUCGAAUCCACUAGGGUGCACCA